UUUCAUUUUUUAGUAAAAUUUAUACUAAAUUUAAACAACAAGAAUAUUUAAACUUUAAUAUUCCUAAAUACCUUAGAAAAAAACUCACUAAAUUAAGAAUAAGUGCACACUCAUUAGCAAUAGAAACUGGUAGGUAUGCAAGACCAAAAAUACCCUCUAAUGAGAGAUUUUGUAAAUUUUGCACAGGAAAAAUUGAAAAUGAGAUACAUUUCUUGAUUGAAUGUCCGCAAUAUA
rnacentral:lncRNA from 1 species